rnacentral:lncRNA from 1 species
GAGCUUGGAGACCCCGGAGUUAGUUUCCUCCACAUCUCCAAGGUUCGGGUCACACCAACCCUCGAUCUCCAAGAGGUUAGUGUAGAUCUAUGCUUUUUAUUAUGUUUUAAGUAAGUUUUAAUGAGUUUUGAUGCAUGUGGAUGGGUAGAUAUGCAUGUGUUGGGGUUUUCCCCAAUGUUAGGUUUUAUGUGGGUUUUAUGCCCAAAGUAUGUAAAUGUAUGUUUUUAUGAUGCUAUGUUGAGUUUAUGCUCUUUUUAUGCAUGUGGGAGUGAGUAUGCAUG